rnacentral:lncRNA from 1 species
UUGAAUGAUGACACAAAUUAAAAAUCCUCUUCUAUUUUUUUUUUGAUUUCAUCUCUUUCUCCAUCAGCAUACUAUUUUUUUGUUGAACUUUUUUAAUUCUAUUAUAUUUAUAUCUUACUUUUGAUUUUUUAUUGUAACUUUCUAAUAUGUAGUAUUUUUUACUCCCAAUAUAAUUUAUUGUAAUAACCUCUCACCAUAUUUUUAUAAUUGAC